rnacentral:rRNA from 1 species
UACAGAGGUCUCGAGCGUUGUUCGGAUUCAUUGGGCGUAAAGAGCUUGUAGGCGGUUUGUCGCGUCUGCUGUGAAAAUCCGGGGCUCAACCCCGGACUUGCAGUGGGUACGGGCAGACUAGAGUGUGGUAGGGGAGACUGGAAUUCCUGGUGUAGCGGUGGAAUGCGCAGAUAUCAGGAGGAACACCGAUGGCGAAGGCAGGUCUCUGGGCCACUACUGACGCUGAGAAGCGAAAGCAUGGGGAGCGAACAGG